UACAUGGCACACACUUUAACUUCAAGUAGUUACAAAUGCCAGAAAGAAAUGAACUGGGUAAAACAGGAGAGGACGGUCGGAGCUUCAUUGUCAGGGAAGACCCCUCCAAGGAGGGGACAUUUAAGCUGAGACUCAAAGGGUGAGAAGCGGUUUUACAAGGAUCUGGAGUACGAACCUUUCAAGCAAAGGGAACAGGAUAAACAUGAGGAGGAGACUGGUGCCCAGUAGCUGAAAUGACCCCUGCCCCGAACCUUCCCCGCCCCCACCCCAACCCCCCCAUGUGGAGGGGAGGGGAGUGAGGAGACAGGCUGGAGAGCUGCGACUUGUCAGGGGGCAGUGGCUUGAGGCUUCUCCCUGGUGUCCUGUGAAGACAGUCCAGCCUUCCUCAUCGCACGCUCCUCUGGCAGCCUGAGACAUGGGGUCAGGCGGGCUUCCUGCUUAAGACAGCAAUUUUUAUGUUCUCAACUAACAAAGCCCUAGGCUAGUCAUGGAGAUGAACACAGAUCUCACAGAGCAACCACAGAGCUCUUCAAGGAUUCAGGUGAUCCUGUCAUUAAUGCCUUUCUCAGAGACUUAGUGAAGCCAGUGUCUACUGGUAAAAGAUAGCUGGGGAUGGGGUGGGUACACAGGUCAUGCAUGAUAAGGCCACUCAACAUUUCCAUCUCCCUAAGGAAAAGGAGCCUUUGGUUUCCUUCUUUCCUGUCAUGCCACUUCAGCCAUCUCAACCUUGUUAACUGAAGGCCACCAAUGAGUCCAAAUUUCAGCCAACCAAUGGAGUAAACUGCUAAAAAGCCACCAACAGCCACACACGCUAACAUUAAAUUUGAAGUCUACUAAAUGCACCUAUAUCAUUGAAUUUGAUUUCUCAUUUUGUAAUCAAUAACUAGCACAGGUUUAUAUUAUGAUUCGUCUGUAGCGGCCUGCCAAAGGUUCCAUAUAACAUCCCUGCGGCAGGAACUGACACUUCAGGCCCCACCGAAUCAGCUAGAUAACGGCCCACAUUGCAGAGCAGCCAAUCAAAACCGGAACAUAUUUAGAUCAUUUGGUAAACGGGACACUCAAGCAGUCCUAUAGGGAGGCCUAUGUGGGGAGGAACUGAGGUCUCCUGCCAAGAGCCACGUGAGUCAUCCGCCUUCUAAGUGGGUCCUCCAGUGCCAGAGGACUGGGGUCCUCGUUGGUGUGGUGUCUGCAGUAUCAUGAGAGAUCUUGAGCCAGAACUGCCUAGCUUAGCAGCUCGCAUAUUUCUUUUUUUUUUUUUUUUUUUCAAUUUCAAUAUAAUUUUAUGCAAAUUUGCCAUAUACCAGCAAUGCUCAAUAGAAAAUACAGUUCAUGUGCCACUUACCAAUGUAUGGCCUCUCAGCCCAAACACAUCCUUUUCGUUCUGCUUUGUGAUACUGAGCUGGAUCACAUCUAAGCUUUGGGUGAGAUCCAGUGUGAUACCCAGCUGGACCCUGUAUACAGUUCCUUGCUAGCCAGCUUGAUGUUGUUCUUCGCUAAUACAGGGCGAUGGAUGAACACUGUCAGGUCAGAGCAGGAGGGAGGGGCUGUCUUCUCCACUGUGGCCAGCGGAGGGCAGGAGAGGUAACCAGCGGCCUUCAGUUCCACUGUCCUCACCUUGGUCCGGCUCCUGCCCUUUCCACUGUCCGCUAGCUGUGAGUUCUCGGGGCACCCACUCCCUCUUCUGAGGUCCAGUCUCCACCUCCUCACCUACUAGUUGGCAAAGAAAGACCGUGGCAGAAGGAAGAGGCCGCUCCAGCGCAUCCCUUCGGGCGGAGCAGAAGCUCCACUUGUGGCUAGGCCAUGUGCCCUCUCCGUUCCUCGGGCCAGCCUUGGCUUCCCCUUUUUGUCGCUCAAGGGCCAGGGUCGCAAGGAAAUGUGAAAAAAAAGCGGAGACAAAAGAGAACGAG
rnacentral:lncRNA from 1 species